rnacentral:rRNA from 1 species
UCGCCUGUUUAUCAAAAACAUCACCCCCCGUAUCUAUUAAAUGGGGGGCACUGCCUGCCCAGUGAAUUUAUUUUAAACGGCCGCGGUAACUUAACCGUGCAAAGGUAGCACAAUCACUAGCCCUCUAAAUAAGGGCCUGUAUGAAUGGCAACACGAGGGCUGAACUGUCUCCUCUUUAUCCUACGAAACUUCUUUGGCCGUGCAAAAGCGUCCGUAAAAGCGCCAGACGAGAAGACCCUGUCGAGCUUCAGGAGUAAAAAACCGACUAAAAGUUACAAUCGGCUGACUAAAAUUUACGUUUUUACUCUAACCACACACUGUAACUUAUUCUCCCCCUCUUUCUUACCCCUUUGGUUGGGGCAACCCCGGAGAAAACCCACCCUCUGAAUCAAACUACUUUUAACCGACAUUACGUCCUAAACAAGAACCUUAUGAUACACAUGACCCGAUUAACCCGAACAACAAACAAAGUUACCGCAGGGAUAACAGCGUAAUCCCUCCCAAGAGUCCCCAUUGCCGGAGGGGUUUGCGACCUCGAUGUUGGAUCAGGGUACCCCGAUGGUGUAACCGCUAUCAAAGGUUGGUCUGUUCGACCAUU